ensembl:lncRNA
AUGCACUCCAGUAUUCUUGCCUGGAAAAUUCCAUGGACAGAAGAACCUGGUGGGCUCUUUAUUGGUUUACAUGCAGGUGUCCAGCUAUCCCAAGACCACUUCCCGAAGAGACGGUGUGACUUCAUUUUUAAAAACCCACUCGCUUUUCUUGAAUCCAUGGAUCUGAAAAGGAAACUCACAGACAAGGGAGGCCAAACAGGAAAGAGUCUGGCCAAGUCCUACCUGCCCCUCGAGAUUCUGUUGGAACGUCUCUCCGAGAAGCCCCCUUCUGGCUCCCUGCUUUGUCAACUGUGAACCACACGUUCACUGCAUUGCCCUGCAAUGAUGGGUUCACAGACGAGUCUCGCGAAUCUGUGGAUUCCCCAAGGGUAAGUACCACAGUCUUUUUGUUGUUGUUCAUUUGUUUUGUUUUCGUUAAAGACUUUUUUUUUUGUUGAGAACCAUUUUUAAAGUCCUGUCCAACUCUUUGCAACCCCAUGGACUGUAUAGUCCAUGGAGUUCUCCAGGCCAGAAUACUGGAGGGGGUAGAUCUCUCCCUUCUCCAGCAGACCUCCCCAACCCUGGAGAAGGGAUAGGCUACCCACUCCAGUAUUCUUGGGCUUCCCUUGUGGCUCAGCUGGUAAAGAAUCCAUCUGCAAUGCAGGAGACCUGGGUUUGAUCCCUGGGUUGGGAAGAUCCCCUGGAGAAGGGAAAAGGCUAUCCACGCUGGUAUUCUGGCCUGGAGGGUCGCAAAGAGUCAGACACGACUGAGUGACGUAAUCAUCACUUUUAAAGUCUUUAUUGAAUUUAUUACCGUAUUGCUUCUGUUUUAUGUUUUAGUUUCUUGGCUGCGAGGCAUAUGGGAUCUUCAAUCCCUGACCAGGGAUUGAACCCGCACCCCCUGCAUUGGAAGACGAAGUCUUAACCACUGGGCCCCCUGGAAAGUCCCCUAGAACCAUGGUCUUUGUUGUGUCUGUUUCCCAGACACCCAGCACAGCACUGGGUCUGUGGUAAUGACUGUGAAAAUGAAUGAAUGACUGUGAAGACAGCUCCACAAGCCAGAGAGGAUCUUUAUACAGCACGGGGCUGGACCAGAUGAUUCUAUCUCUUGUCUACACUGCGGUUCCAACAUCACAUAACCCUGCCGGGUCAGCGCCCCUCUGCUUUGUCACCCAUGGGCUGUUAACUGUUGCCCAGGCAGCAACAACUCUCACUGCUAAUGCAGUUCCUCUAUUUCAAUAUGCAAAGAAAGCCUCACACCUCUGGGCUUUCUAUAGAUUAUGCAAAAAAAAAAAGCCAUUUUAAUAUCUCCUUC